UCGUUAUCCGCUUGAAUCCUCCUCCGUCUCCGCCGGAAGUACUGAGCAACCGCUGAGACUUCGGUCUGAAAAUCUCCAUUUCCAUGGCUUCAACUUUCACUUUCCUUCCAUUUCCUCUCAUUCUCUCUCCCCGCCCAAAUUUUCCUUCUAUUAGACCUCAAUUUCACCGCCAGUAUCUUCCCGCCAUUCGAAUUCUCCGACCUUCAGUUCCUUCCGCCAUUGGACCGGACGGAAAAUUCUAUCCGGACCCGGCCGAAGAUGACCCACCGGAAGCUCCGGAAGAUUCUGGCCAUGGAGUUUCAAAGUUUCAGCAGAUAUACCGCCAGGCAGCUCGUGCGAGGAGGAUUCAAGAGGAGGAUUUCAAGAAGCAUCAGUCUACUUAUCUUUCGGCCAUUGCUGACGUUGAGGAUGCUCCUGAGAAUGCGGAGUAUUUGAAUUCGGAGAGCUCGGGUGAUGAUUUGUUCGGUGAAAUUGACAAAGCUAUUGCUCUGAAGCGGAAGGAGUUCGUGAAGCAGGGACUUCUCAAGCCUAACCCGAAGAAAGAAAAGGUGGGUGAGAAAGAUGAACUUGAGGGCAUUGAUGAGUUGGAGACUGAGGAGGUCGCAGAUUUGGAGGAGAUUAACGAGCUUCGAGGGCUUACUGUGAUUUCGGAGGACGAGGAGGUGGAGGAGGACGAGAAUGAAGAUGGACCUAGGAAUUUGGAUGACAAUGUAAGUGCAUUAGGUCAUGAGGAUGAACUAUCUUCUUUUAAUUCCUUUGAUGUGGAUUUUGAUAACUAUGGAAAAGUUAAGGCCAGGAUUGUGGAACCCAAGUUCAAAAUGACUUUAGCUGAGCUAUUGGAUGAAAGUAAGGUCGUUCCAGUUUCUGUUUUUGGCAAUUUAGAGAUAGAAAUUACUGGCAUUCAACACGAUUCGAGGGUGGUUACCGCUGGUGACUUGUUUGUGUGUUGCGUUGGGAGGGAAACUGAUGGGCAUUUGUAUUUAACUGAGGCAGAUAAGAGGGGUGCAGUGGCUGUGGUGGCUAGCAAGGAGAUAGAUAUAGAAGAAACUUUGGGCUGUAAAGCUUUGGUAAUGGUGGAGGAUACUAACUCUGUUCUUCCUGCAUUGGCUGCUUCUUUUUACAGAAACCCCUCAAAGAAUAUGGCUGUGAUAGGAAUAACUGGGACGGAUGGUAAAACGAGCACUUCCUACUUGAUAAAGGGAAUGUAUGAGGCAAUGGGGUUGAGAACUGGGUUGCUAGGGACAGUGGCUUAUUAUUUACAUGGGGACAAUAAGUUGGAGUCGCCAAGUACGACCCCGGAUGCUAUUUUGGUCCAAAACUUAAUGGCGAAGAUGCUUCAUAAUGGAACUGAAGCGGUUGUCAUGGAGGUUUCAUCUGAUGGACUUGCUCGUGGCAGGUGUGAUGAAGUUGAUUUUGAUAUAGCUGUCUUUACAAAUUUGACUAGCGACCAUUUGGAUUUUCAAGGGUCAGAAGAGGAGUAUAGGGAUGCCAAAGCCAAGCUAUUUAAAAGGAUGGUGGAUCCAGACCGACACCGAAAAGUUAUUAACAUUGAUGAUCCCAAUGCACCAUUCUUCAUAGGUCAAGGAAACCUAGAUGUGCCUGUUGUAACCUUUGCAAUGGAAAACAAAAACGCUGACGUCCAUCCCCUGAAAUAUGAAUUGUCACUAUUUGAGACACAGGUUUUGGUUCACACUCCCCAGGGAAUACUGGAGAUAUCAUCGGGUUUGCUUGGAAAGCACAACAUUUACAAUAUUCUUGCAGCAGUGGCAGUAGGGAUUGCAGUUGGAGCACCAUUAGAGGAUAUUGUUAGAGGUGUUGAAGAAGUUGAUGCUGUUCCUGGGAGAUUCGAGCUGAUUGAUGAGGAGCAGGCGUUUGGUGUAAUUGUUGAUCAUGCUCAUACUCCAGAUGGUCUAUCCCGGCUGCUUGAUUCUGUAAGGGAGCUUGGGCCAAGGAGGAUUAUCACUGUUUUUGGAUGCUGUGGUGAGCAUGAAAGGGGGAAAAGACCCAUGAUGACAAAGAUCGCAACUGAUAAAAGUGAUGUUACAAUUCUGACAUCUGAUAAUCCAAGGAAUGAAGAUCCAUUGGACAUCUUGGAUGAUAUGUUGGCUGGAAUAGGCUGGACUAUGCAGGAUUACUUGAAACACGGAGAAAAUGAUUACUACCCACCUCUCUCAAAUGGUCAUAGGAUUUUCCUGCAUGAUAUCAGACGUGUGGCUGUACGUGCUGCUGUUGCAAUGGGCGAGGAAGGCGACGUGGUUGUGGUUGCUGGCAAGGGCCACGAAACAUAUCAAAUUGAAGGUGAUAAAACGGAAUUUUUUGAUGAUAGAGAAGAAUGCAGAGAAGCACUACAAUAUGUUGAUGAACUUCACCAAGCUGGAAUUGACACUAGUGAAUUUCCAUGGAGGCUACCAGAGAGUCAUUGAUAGAGGAUUGAGGAAAGGAAUGGAUAUUCUGGAAGCUAUACUCGAUAAAAAAAUACUGCUGGUGCACUAUUUCUCUUACAAAUAGUAGAUUCCAGUGAUAAACAAGAGGCACUUUAAGGACCGUUGAAUUUGGUUGGUCAGAUUGGGGGAAUAUUAUACUCCAUAUGUCUUCACAAUUCCUCUGGUCGCCUUGGUUGGAUACGCAGGAACGAUGGGUGGUCAAGUUGGAGAUGGAAGUGAAGAAUCUGAAUCAUUGCUUGUAAACCCUUGUUGUUGUCUGUGUUAAUGGUUGCAUAGGGGCAUGAUUUUGAAAAUUGAAUGUGGGAUGGAGGGUAGUAAUGUAAAUUUAAGAAGAUGGGUACUUAGCACCGACUUUUGUCAUAACCACAUGGCUGGUCUGACGGCAGAGAACACACCCUGCCCUUCAUGUCGAGCAAUUUUGAGUUGGCCCUUCAAUUUAUUGUCCCUUUUAAAAUCAUAGGGUAUACAAGAAAUGUGUGAUGUGAUAUAUAUAUUAAAAAAGUUUGGCCCAAUGAUGUAAUGAAACUUGAACAUUUGAUUUUCUAUAUGUAUGAUGUCCUAAUAUCCAUUUCCAAUAAAGAAAGACGCCUUUUCUUUAA